AAUAUCGACCUACAACGUUUGUGGAAAAAACCGAACGUUUUACGAGUAUAUAAGUCACGAUUAUCACGUGUAAACGACUGAAAUAAAACGGACGCAUUGCGAGCGUUAAACCAAAGAAAAGGUAGGAAAAUAACGAAGCGAGUAAAUAAUGGCGAGUAAAUACACAGUAUUACCAUAACCACGAUAUUACCGAAUACGAAUGACCAUAGAUAACGACAUUGGAAACACCUUUUCGGAAAACAGAAAAUCGGAAAUAGAAAACCGUACGUUCGGGUGUCACGGAAAAUAUCAAAAUAUGUUUAAAAGAUUUUUUAAAGAGUUUUAGAGUAGAAAAAUCGGUGAAAAAAAUGUCUAAAAACGUGUUAACGAAAUAACGAAUACUUGCCAAAGAAAUGUAUAUAGUGCCACCGUUGUCAUUUUAUAAUAUAAAAAGAUAAUUGUUAU